UACAGAGGGUGCAAGCGUUGUUCGGAAUUAUUGGGCGUAAAGCGCGUGUAGGCGGCUUGGCAAGUCGGGUGUGAAAUCCUCAGCUUAACUGAGGAAGUGCGCCCGAAACUGCCGAGCUUGAGUACCGGAGAGGGUGGCGGAAUUCCCAAGUAGAGGUGAAAUUCGUAGAUAUGGGGAGGAACACCGGUGGCGAAGGCGGGUCUCUGGGCCGAUACUGACGCUGAGGAGCGAAGCGUGGGGAGCGAACAGG
rnacentral:rRNA from 1 species